rnacentral:rRNA from 1 species
CCUACGGGUGGCAGCAGUGAGGAAUAUUGGUCAAUGGCCGUGAGCCUGAACCAGCCAAGUCGCGUGAGGGAAGACGGUCCUAUGGUUUGUAAACUUCUUUUGUCGGGGAGUAAAGGUCUCCACGCGUGGAUUUUUGCGUGUACCCUAUGAAUAAGCAUCGGCUAACUCCGUGCCAGCAGCCGCGGUAAUACGGAGGAUGCGAGCGUUAUCCGGAUUUAUUGGGUUUAAAGGGUGCGUAGGCUGUUUUUUAAGUCAGCGGUGAAAUUUUGUGGCUCAACCAUAUCAGGGCCGUUGAAACUGGAAGUCUGGAGUGUGUGAGAGGUAGGCGGAAUGCGUGGUGUAGCGGUGAAAUGCAUAGAUAUCACGCAGAACUCCGAUUGCGAAGGCAGCAUACCAAGCCAUAACUGACACUGAAGCACGAAAGCGUGGGGAUCAAACAGGAUUAGAUACCCCGGUAGUC